CCCCACAAAUGGAUGUACCCGUACUGUCAUUGUUCGAGUAUCGCGGAGUAAAAUCAUUGCUGCUGCUGCGGCUGCCACUAUAAUUCAAGUGCUGCCAACACCUUCCAUUUACAUUACCUGUUCUCUUGCAGGGAGUACCAUUGCAGGUAGGUACUCCACAAAUGGGUGUACUACAAUUGUUGCGAUUACAGAUGGAAAUCGCCAUCCCUGUACGAUUUUCAUAAAAAUCUGAAGCUUCACCAUUGUUCGAGUUUCGCGGAGUAAAAUCAUUGCUGCUGCUGCGGCUGCCACUAUAUUUCAAGUGCUGCCAACACCUUCCAUUUACAUUACCUGUUCUCUUGCAGGGAAUACCAUUGCAGGUAGGUACUCCACAAAUGGGUGUACUACAAUUGUUGCUACAAUGCUCAAUUUCGGGAUAGUCCUCUUUGUAAGGUUGUGAUUUCAUACUCGAACUCGUGGAAGACCCUGUAGUUUUCUUUCCCUUGUGUUCAGAGCAUCGUUUUCUUCCUUCAACCGGUGGCCUUUUACAAAUCGAACCAGCGUCUAAAACCACCCCACAAGAGAAGGUUUCGUUCUCGUCGAAGCCACCGUGAUUCAAAACCAACCGAGGCCGGGAUCUGCUGAAGUUCAAAACUUCAGGCCAAAAGUUGAGGUUCUCUUCAUUUUUGUAUUUGCCAAACUCAUUGUCGUCCGAAACUAGCUUGCUUGCUUUGAUUUUGAUGCCUACUUGCUUUUGAAGGAAGGGCAGAUGCUUUUUGGAGAAAUUGGCUACUUUUAUAAGAUUUGAUGCACGCUUAUCUAGUUUUUCAAGGAUAUCAUCGUAACGACGUACACCGUUCGAGCCUUUAUUCCAUGCAUAAUCAUAAGUACGGAGAAGCUGAUCUUCAGUUCUCCGAGCAUCUGCCUUGUUUUCCAUCUAUUUAACAUGGGAAAGUAAAAUAACAUUAGGAAUUAGAUUAAAAACCAAAUUUUGGAUGCAAGGAUGAACAUUAAAUAAGAACAUUGAUGAAAAAGUGCAUUUUCAUAGCUUCUUGGCCUUCAAAAACCAUAUCAUCUGCAAUUCAUUCAAGACUAAGAGCUUAUAACAGUAUAAAGAAUAUAUAUAUAUAUAUAUCAAGCUAAGCAAUAAAAAUGGAAAAUCUAAAAAUCAAUGCAAACCAAAACGUUUAAACGAUUUAUAAAAUAAAAAUUAAAAAUCAUAGUUAUAACAACAAUUAUUUAGUUUACAAUUAAUUUUAAUUUUUUAUGAUACAAAAAUAAAUAUUUUAUAUUUAAAUAAUAAAAUAAUUUAAAAACUUUAUAAACAUCAUGUAAGUAUUAUUGAUUAUUUUUAUUUACUUAUUUUAAAAAGUUAUGAAACACUUUUUUGAAAUUCUAUCAAAUAAUGUCCAAAUGCAAUUAAAACAAAGCUUGCCAAAAUAAAUCCAAAAAAUAAAAAUAAAAAUAAAAAAUAAAAAUAAAAAAUUAAUAUGAAAAAUAAAAAAUAAAAUCUAGUUAACAUAGUUAUUUAAAAAAUUUAGGAAAAAAUUUCGACUAAAUCAAACUCGAUACUACGUAGAGAUAUAUAUACAUGGUUUUUAAAACUGAUCAAACUCGAUCCAAGUUCGAUUUAAUAAAUUAUUUUAAAAAUUAUAAAAAUAAAAAAAUAUAAAAUAAAUUCAACCCUCGAUUCAACUUAUUUUUAUCUGGACUGAGUAAAACCGAAACCUCUUUUUCCGAGCUGAUUUUCAAUCUUACCGGGUGUAAUCCUGUACAGUUCCAACAACCGACAUCAAUAAAGUUGGAAAGUAGAAAAACAUAUACUCACAGAAGCCCAUCUGUAGGUAAUAGACCAACCCCUUGCAAAAAUAUCAAACAAAGGACAUCCAUUUUCACCAAAUCCAUUUUUUCCACAGAGAUGAGUACCAUUACGGCCAUGUUGUUGGAGUCUUGCUCUUAUAUUUCCACUCUUCCCAAGAUAAACCACCAAAUCAGGUUCAAGCUUGCCAUGGCGGUCCCUACUCGGCAGUUUACACACCGCAAGCUCAUAGAUUCCUGGACCUGGAUAUUCUGGAAGAUUUUCAAACCUGUAUCUGGUCACCGCUCCAUCUUUCCCAUUUUUCCAGUCAUGAGGACCAACAAGAAGCUAAACAAAUGAAAAAAAAAAAAAACCAAAAAGACCAAGAUCAGAUUAAGGUUUAUAAAUCAAAUUUAAACUGGGUAUAGAUGAUCUUUUUCAGCAAAAUCAAAAGCAUGAUUAAAGUUGGAUUAAGACAGAUUAAAAAACCUUCCAUUCGGAGAAGUGGGAAUCGUGGUCGGUCUUCUUGUGAUCUUCUCUCUUCGAUCUGUCGACGUGAACGGCCAAUAAUUGCAUUGGAAUCUUAUCUUCUUCGACUAUAAGCACCAUUAUGCAAAUGUCUCUGAUUGCACCACUUUGGAAGGGCAUUUCUUAUUUAUAAUAAGGUUUAAAUUGCCUUCUUUCUUUUUAAUUUUAUUUAUUUUUUACUUUAGACUUAAUUCGUUUUAUUUUAUUAUUUUAAUACUUAAAUUUUAAAAUUUUCAAAAUAAAAUUUCACAUAUAUUUCAUAAAAAUUUAAAAUUUAAAAUUUUAAUAAAUUUUAAAAAAAAUUAUCCAUAUUGUCAAUAAAGUAUAAAUAAAUUAUUUUUAACAAGUCUAUAUUUAGAUUAAAACAGUUUAACUAAAUUUUAAAGACUAAUAGUUUUAUUUAAAUACAAAAAAUUUAACUAAAUUUUAAAGAUUAAAUCACAAUAAAAAAAACUUUACAACCUAACUGUAUCAUCUUACCUUUAUGUUUUGUCCAUGCCUUCUUCAUCUUUCCCUUUUCUGAUUAGUGAAAUAUUUUAAUCCUUAAUACUUAAGUUACAAGUAGUCUCCCGACAGCCGACAGUCACAUCAUUAAAGUGAUAAAAUUAUUUGUACGUUGAUGAUAUGAUAGAUCUAAGACUCGUGUCAUGAUGUGAUUUAAUGAAGUGAAUUUUAGCGUCUUUCGUAAGCUGUCCUCUUGUAGUCUUGUCUUUUUUUAUUUGUGAAAAUGAGUUUUUUUUUUCUUAAAUGUAAUAAUUUAUUAUACUCUAUAAAAUGGGUUUUUUACCCCCAAUAUAUUAAAAAAAAUUAUAUAUAAAAAUAGGUUGUCAAAUAGAUUAAUUAUCGAAAUGGUACAUUUUUUGUAAUUGCACCAUUUAACAGGCGCGAAUUAAUUUUUAUAUUAAAUUUUUUUGAAAAAAAUAUUAAUUUUUUAUUUUUAAAUACGGUCAAAGGGUCAAAAUAUGGGUAAAAAUCGAGUCGCGCCUAUCUGAUAGGCGCGAUUAGUCGCACCUGACAGGUAGGCGCGAAUGGUCCUGCAUAAAUUUAUCCGUAUUGUUGCUGUUAACUCAUUUUAUUUUUUUUAUGUCAACUUGGAUAUCAAUUUGUCCAAGUUUAAUAAUAACUGACUCUUUUCAUAAAUUUAUUGAAGAAUAUAAAUCAAUUAUUAACAUACAAAUACUUAACAGCAAUUUAAAAAAAUUAAAAAAUUGAUAAUAAUACAUUAAUAGUAUCAAUUAAAAGCGUUUCUCAAAACUCAUAAUUAAGAUUCUUAUUUUGAGCAAUAGGAGUAGAGUUUUGGCUGUGUGAAAAAAAUAUGGGAUAUGAAUAUUUUUAAAUAAUGUAAUUUUUAUAUAAUGUAAUUUUAUUUGAUUUUUUAUUUAUUUAACAAUUUUAUUGAUUUAUUAAAAUGUUGAUUAAAUUUGUUGUUAUAUAAUUUUAUAGGUUGUUUGAAAUAAACUACUCGGUAUGUAUCUAUUUCUAUUUUUAUUUUUUAAUUCGUAUAUUUUUAUGUUUAGAUAGUUUAUAUUAAUGUUAAUUAUAUUAUUAUUGUAAUGUAAUAUAAUUUUUUUAUUGUAGGUAAAUUAUGGGGAAUUAUUAAAUAUUUAUCGUGUUUUGUUUCUGAAAUUUGAAAUAAUUUAAUGUAUUUUUUAAAACAAAUUAAAUGAAUUUAUUUUUUUUAAUUACAUAUUUGCAGUAAAUGGCUUUUUUGAUUAAUAAUAAUAAUCACAUAUCAAGUACUAUUAAUGAGAUGGUAAUAAAAUUUUUAUUUGAUACUCAUGUUAUUUGCUGAAUUAAAUUAUAUUGUAUUAACUAUUUUGCUAAUUUAAUAAUGUCAGGGUCCAUACCGCGUAUUGAGGGGCUGUGUUAAUAGUGUAGGGUUUCUGCCAGAUGAACGCCUACUACCAUACUUAGAGUUAGUUAGGUUCAGAUCAGCGGCAUUGAUCCGGACUUUUGAUCUGCGAUACGACUUGAUUUCCUCUUUAGUCGAGCGAUGGCGUCCGGAGACCCACACACUUCAUUUACCGUGCGGAGAGUGUACUGUCACUCUAAGAUAGGCUCAACUAGUCGCGCCUAUCAAAUAGCCGCAAUCUGUAUUUCGUAUCUAUACCCAGGUUAUAUACUGAUCCGGGAAAUAAAAAAUUAAUAUGAAAAAUUCAUUCGCACCUGUCAGAUAGGCGCGAUUAAAAAAAACAUACCAUUUUGGUAAUUAAUCUAUCUGACAACCUAUUUCGAUAUUUAAUUUUUUAAAUAUAUUUGGGUAAAAAACCCUAUAAAAUACUUGUUAAAUUCUUAACUCUUUCUAUAAAAUUUAUAAACUCUAUUAUACCAAAUAUUUUCUCUCAUGUUUAUUAUUUAUUAUUUUUUAAUAUUUAUUAAUUUUAUAUAAUUAACGUAAGCAAUCAUACCUAAAAGAUAAGUAAAAUAUAUAAAAUAUUCUAAAAAAAAUAUUUGUAUAAUGUUUAAAAAAUAAAAAUGUUACAAAUUAAUAAAGAAACAUUUUCCAUGUAAAAUUUUAUUAACUUUUUUCCCUAUAUUCUUGGCCUCUUUAAAUAUUAAAUACCAUUAAAAUUAACAUUAUAUUACAGAAUACCUUUCUCAAUAUUUUCACUAUGUGAAACAAAAUUUUAUUUUACUUACACUUGCAAUUUGUGGGAAAAAAAAGCAACAAAUAAACCAAUCAAUUAAAGUGGGAAAAUUACCUUAUAAAUGGAGGCUAUUACACAAAGCUCAUUUAACCAAAUAUCAGAAUGGCAAUGCGGCAUCGGAGGACAGGGAGAAUCGUAUUUUUAUAUUCGCUGUUCAUACGUCGUUGCCAGCUGUUCCCCGAUCGGUCUUUGCUUAGUCAGAAAUUAGUCAGAAAUUUGUGUAGAUUCGCAUAUCGUAUGAACAGCUUAGCAACUCGAAAAGAACCUGUUCGCUCUAUCUACUUGCUUUUUUCAAUAUCAUGAAUCAUGAGAGCCUUGGACCAUCAAAGUAAUAGGCUUCGCGCUGUCCGCCCGAAGACUAUCUCCUUUCAAACCAAUCUGGGAGGAGAAUCAUAUUCAACAUAACCUCAAAAGACUUGUUCCGAUAAAAAUCACGAAACAACAAUUUAAAAACAGAUGAUGCAACCCUCUGUUCGGUGAUUUGCUAUCAGAAGAGUUAUAUGAUUAUUCUACAAAGUUUGUAUUCAAAGGCAGAUUGAUUACCUCAGGACUACCAGCUGGGAACCACCGUAAUAGUACACCAAGACGAACAACAGCUGGAAUCAGCUUGAAAAGCAAUGGAGUAGUCACCUGCAUGGUAAUUUUAUGAGUAAAAUCUGAACCUUGAGAGCUAAUAUGAAAGAACUUUAAGAAAUUGGCAGUAAAAGUACCGUGAAGGCCACUGUAGUGAGAGUUGGGUUGCAUUUUUUUUCCUCUACUCGGAAAAUGAGCGUUUUUGUACAUUAGAUCAAAGAGUAAAUUGGUCCUUCUAUUAAAAUUCCAUCCAUUUCUAUUAUUAACAAAAAUGACUAAUUUGUUCUUUGAUCUAACAUAUAGAAAUUAAUUUGCUUUUUUUUUUUGAGUAAAAGAGGCAAAAUAUAAUUUGACUCGUAAUACAGGAACCUCUAUAGUAUUUUUACCUGAUUUUGACUACUUACAUUUACCUAAGGAAUUUAAUAGUAAAAGUUUCCAUUCUGAUCGGCUAAAUUUAUUUAUUAUUUACUAAACGUUUCGUAUUUGUAUUGUGUCGAAAUUUAUUAGGAACUUCAGGAACUCACAAACUUUACAUUCUGCUUAAUUAUUUAGUUAAUCAAGCAAAAAAAAAUUAUUUUACAAAUUAGAGAGAUGUUUUAUCUUUUUCAUUUUAAAUAAAAAAUUUCACUGACUAUAGAUAAAAUAAUUUAUAUUUGUAGUUUAUACAGAAAAAAAAAAAGGAUUCACAACAUCCAGAUCAUCCUCGCAAGACAAUAAUACAAAACCUACAACAUAAUCCAACAGCAGCCUCCAAGUGAAUACAUAAUCAUGUUAUUGUAAAGUUAAUCCUUCGGCUCCAGCACUCACCGAAACAUAUAAAAUGGUGACUCUCGAUCGAUCAAUGCUCGGCCAACCUGCCUCGACCUAUCGGUGCUGCCAACACCUUCCAUUUCCCUUGACUGGUCUCCGGCAGGAAGAAUGAUUGCGGGUUGGUGCUCCACAAAUGGAUGUACCCUUACUGUCAUUGUUCGAGUUUCGCGGAGUAAAAUCAUUGCUGCUGCUGCGGCUGCCACUAUAUUUUAAGUGCUGCCAACACCUUCCAUUUCCAUUACCUGUUCUCUUGCAGGGAGUACCAUUGCAGGUAGGUACUCCACAAAUGGGUAUACUACAAUUGCUGCUGUUGAGACUUGAAUUCCAGUCGAAAACAUGGGAUGGACUCGUUUCGUCUAAUCCGGAAACAAGAGUGGUAAUCGUCAUCCCCGUAUGAUUUUCAUAUAAAACUGAAGCUUCUUCAUCAGAAUAUGAAUUGAAAACAGCAUAUGGCAUUGCUUGAAAUCUUGUUAUCUCGGAAUCGGAGCUAUAAAUUCUCCUCCCUUUAUGCAAAUCACAUCUUUUUCUCCCGGAAACGGGUUGCCUUCUACAAAGAGAACCAUCAUCC
rnacentral:lncRNA from 1 species